rnacentral:rRNA from 1 species
ACGAACGCUGGCGGCGUGCCUCAUACAUGCAAGUUGAGCGAUGAAGAUUGGUGCUUGCACCAAUUUGAAGAGCAGCGAACGGGUGAGUAACGCGUGGGGAAUCUGCCUUUGAGCGGGGGACAACAUUUGGAAACGAAUGCUAAUACCGCAUAAUAACUUUAAACAUAAGUUUUAAGUUUGAAAGAUGCAAUUGCAUCACUCAAAGAUGAUCCCGCGUUGUAUUAGCUAGUUGGUGAGGUAAAGGCUCACCAAGGCGAUGAUACAUAGCCGACCUGAGAGGGUGAUCGGCCACAUUGGGACUGAGACACGGCCCAAACUCCUACGGGAGGCAGCAGUAGGGAAUCUUCGGCAAUGGACGAAAGUCUGACCGAGCAACGCCGCGUGAGUGAAGAAGGUUUUCGGAUCGUAAAACUCUGUUGGUAGAGAAGAACGUUGGUGAGAGUGGAAAGCUCAUCAAGUGACGGUAACUACCCAGAAAGGGACGGCUAACUACGUG